rnacentral:lncRNA from 1 species
UCAGCUGAUCCUCUUCUCCAAGGUAAGCUUGUGGCUGGACUGAUCAAAGAGAAAGAUCAAGGUCUGAUCAUGAUCUGAACUCAACUAGGUCUAGGGUUUUAUUUAAAAAUCUCAUCUUCUGAUCUUUCUCAAGAACCAAACUGAGCUAGGGUUGAAUAUUAGAUCACCACCAAUUUUUUCUUGAUUUAUUUUUCUGAUUUUUCUCACUGAUUUUUCUGUUAUUCUUUCUCUCUUGCUCUCUAAAAUUCUCUAGGUUUUUCUGUAGGUUUAAAAACGAGGGAAGAAGCAGGAGAAGAGUUUAAUACAACCUGAGGUUGCUUCAUAUGAGGGUUUAGCUCAUAACCAAGCUUGGCUGAGAGCAGACAGCUGGCAACCUGUUUCAUCAUCAACAUCAUACUGUCAUUUCCCUCCCAUGAAGCAGUUUCCAGCCAAUCAUAAAUAAUUAAAGGAGGAAGCAAGCACACAGGCAGCUUGUGAUUUUCAUGUGCCAUUUACUGAAGAAGCUAAGUAAGCAGGCAGGUGCAAGUCAAGUGAAUGAAUACUCAACAAGUCAAGUGACAUGAGUCUAGUCCAAAAUUAAUUAGGCAGUUGGUAGAUAAUUUUAAAUAAUUUUCAACCAAAUAGUCCUUGUCUUUGUCUCUCGUCUUGUUCCCGGAAAGUCUCGUCC